CACGUAGGGGGCGAGCGUUGUCCGGAUUUAUUGGGCGUAAAGAGCUCGUAGGCGGCUCGGUAAGUGAGGUGUGAAAACUCCAGGCUCAACCUGGAGACGCCACCUCAUACUGCCGUGGCUAGAGUCCGGUAGGGGAGCAUGGAAUUCCUGGUGUAGCGGUGAAAUGCGCAGAUAUCAGGAGGAACACCAGUGGCGAAGGCGGUUACCUGGAGCUUUGCUGACGCUGAUGCGCGAAAGCGUGGGGAGCGAUCCGG
rnacentral:rRNA from 1 species